rnacentral:rRNA from 1 species
UAGUCAUAUGCUUGUCCUAAAGAUUAAGCCAUGCAUGUCCAAGUAUAAACCUUUAUACGGUGAAACUGCGAAUGGCUCAUUAUAUCAGUUAUAAUUUACAUGAUGAUGACUUGCUACAUGGAUAACCGUGGUAAUUCUAGAGCUAAUACAUGCAAAGGGCCCGCGAGGGUGGCAUUUAUUAGAUGGAACCAGCGAAAGAUGGUGAAUCAUGAUAACUGAGCGGAUCGCAUGGCCUCGAGCUGGCGACGCUUCAUUCAAAUUUCUGCCCUAUCAACUUUGGAUGGUAGGAUAGAGGCCUACCAUGGUGGUGACGGGUGACGGGGAAUUGGGGUUCGACUCCGGAGAGGGAGCCUGAGAGAUGGCUACCACUUCCAAGGAAGGCAGCAGGCGCGCAAAUUACCCAAUCCCGACACGGGGAGGUAGUGACAGUAAAUAACGAUGCGGGGCCGUAUGGUCUUGCAAUUGGAAUGAGAGGAAUGUAAAUGCGUUAGCGAGUAACGAUU